rnacentral:rRNA from 1 species
GACAGAGGGUGCAAACGUUGUUCGGAAUUACUGGGCGUAAAGCGUGUGUAGGCGGUCCACUACGUCGGGUGUGAAAGCCCUGGGCUCAACCCAGGAAGUGCACUCGAAACUGGCGGGCUAGAGUAUCGGAGAGGUUGGUGGAAUUCUCGGUGUAGAGGUGAAAUUCGUAGAUAUCGAGAGGAACACCGGUGGCGAAGGCGGCCAACUGGACGAAUACUGACGCUGAGACACGAAAGCGUGGGGAGCAAACAGG